UUCAGCACAUGCACCUCAUUGGAAAUUUAAAUGCUAAGAAACACUUUUAUCCUGGAGAGUUACAUGAAGUGACUGCAUGUCCUCUAGUUUCCUGCAGAGUUGAGUAGUGAGGUAAUGAGGGAUAGUAUUAGGUUUAUGUGAACUCAAUAAGCUUUUUCCCUAGGAGUGCUGUUUCUUAUCUGUCAGCAGCCAGCUGAGUUUGAGGCCUGUGUUUUCCCAGUGAUGUGUUUUCAGUUUCAUGGGCAACAGUUGCACCUGUUGAUGAUUUCAAACUGAACAAGAGAUUGAUUCCAGACAUUUGAAGGAUCCCAGUUCUUUGAAGGCCUCUGGUUGGAGAAUGGUUUCACCGAUGGGACGGCAAGUUUUCCAGGGUGAGACAGUUCACUUGGACCUCCACCUGCACUACAUGGGCAAUGAUGAACUCUUCUGGUCUCCAUCUGCUCACCAUUUCAAACCAAACCACCUUUGGAAGGUUCUUCUGGCUCUGUCAAGCAUUUGGCCUCAUCUUCCCUGACUGAAGAUCAGCCAGAUAACAUCAUCUCCUGACCAAUCGGACGCCUAGAUCCAUACCUCAUCCCACAGGUUCUUUCCUUGAAUGCUCUGCCACAAACGUCUUUAAAAUAAGUACAGAUGGAUCCAGUCUGAAACAAGGACUCUUCCAGUUACUACCCACAGUCACUGUGCCAGCACUUCCUAUGUGGCCA